rnacentral:lncRNA from 1 species
CGCGGCGAUCCUCGAAUCCACCUGGACAGGUGAGAACAGGUGAGAUCAGACAGGUGAGAUCAGACAGGUGAGAUCAGACAGGUGAGAUUAGACAGGUGAGAUCAGACAGGUGUGAAUAGAACAGGUGAGAUCAGACAGGUGUGACAGGUGUGAGGAAGCCCCCGCGCUCGCCGCGCCCGCGGAAACCCCCGCGAUCGAAUCCUCCGCGACCACCACGGCGAUCCUCGAAACCUCCACCUGGACAGGUGAGAUCAGACAGGUGAGAACAGGUGAGAACAGGUGUGAACACAACAGGUGAGAUCAGACAGGUGUGAAUACAGCAGGUGUGACAGGUGUGAGGAAACCCCCGCGAUCGAAACCUCCACGACCACCACGGCGAUCCUCGAAACCUCCACCUGGACAGGUGAGAUCAGACAGGUGAGAACAGGUGAGAACAGACAGGUGAGAACAGACAGGUGUGAACACAACAGGUGUGAACAGCUGUACUCCAGGUGUAUUUUGUGUACCCCCAGGUGUCCCCAGGUGUGUUUUGGGUGUCCCCAGGUGUAUCCAGGUGUAAUCCAGGUGUAUCCAGGUGUACUCCAGGUGUAUUUAGGAUGUCCCCAGGUGUACUCCAGCUAUCCCCAGGUG